GCCACGUCCCGGUCGUCAUCUUCAUCCGCAGCCAGCAGGCACAGGACCACGUUGUCCGGGUCUCUACAGACAGUGGGCAACGGCUACUGACUUGUCUGCACUCAAAACUCAAGAACUGUCUCUCCCAGAGUAUGAAGUCACUCAUCUCUACCGACCUGCUUCCCUCCAGGAGUAGCCUAGUGUGACACACAGUCUCCUGUGACAACCUGCCUAUCAAAAUGUAGAACUAUCGGCUCCUCCAGUUCCACAUCUGCCUGCACACUGCCAUGCUUCCUGCCAUGAUAAUGAUGGACUGAACCUCUGAAACUACAUGUUAGAAGCCCUCCCACAGGCCGUUUGCCUAAGGAAACUACUGUUCUUUGGAGGCAUUGACUAUCUAGAUGACAGUGUCCCCACUGUGUGUUCCACAAAUGUGCUGGCAACCAGUGCUUGAUGCCACAGGAGUCGCAAAGCAGCACAACCCAAGGACGUGCUUCUCAAAGCUGCAGUCAUCACCAAAGCCAGGACAGAGCUCCAGAAGGUGCUGCACAAGAACACAAGGUCAAGGCUGGCCAGUUCCCACACGUCUGCCAUCACAGCUACUCUGCAGCUGAGACUGCGAGAUCUGUAAGUUCAAGGCUUGUAAGAGCUUCGGGCUGAGUUCAAGGCCAGCCUGGGUAAUUUUGUGACGUCCUGUCUCAAAAUAAAAGCAAGAUAGUUCUGGCAGUAGAGUGUUUGUCUAUAAUUCACAAGGCCCCAUAUCCAAUACCCAUCAUCACAAAAUAAAGUAAAUAUGUGACUGAGAAUGAAUGAAGAUGGUACCAUGGCCUUCAAACGGGGAGUUUCAGCAGGCGGAGGAUUGCACAGGGAUGAGAAGACAGGCCUCACAAGGAGCUCGGUGGUAAGGCAAAGGAAGAGCAAUUCCCAGUUAAUGGUUUACUGCAUUCUAAUUACAGCCACAACCUCUGCAAUAGUUGUCUCCAGUUAAAACCAAAGAGCAGCAUCUUUGCUGUCUUCUGUGACCACCAGAGGCUGAAGGAGAAGAUUCGACAGCAAACAACUGGCUUCUGUUUGCUGGGUCAGGGUCAGGUGUGGUGGCUUUCCGAUGUUAUCCUGACCAGAGUACAGAUUUGGAAGGUGCAUUCUGUACAUUGGAGAAUUAAGCACAUAGAGUUGUAACACUUUCAGUCCAGGAAUGGGGGGUAGGGUGCCUAACAGUAGCUUUAUUAAUAAACAUUUAAUUAUUCCUCAUAACAGACCUGGUACUAUAUGCCUAUAGUUCUAGCACUUAAGAAUGGCAGGAGGAUUAGGCAUGCAAGAUGGCCUUGACUGUGUAGUAAGGUUAGGACCAGGCUGAGCUAUAUAUCUCAACUGGAGGAAAAAAAGUCUAUAGUCUUUUUCCCACAUAUACCCAUCUUCAAUGGGGCACUUUUGCCUGCUGGGGGCUAAUCUCACUACAUUCAUAACAGUUAGUCAUGGAACUGCCUUUCAAACAUGAAGAAGGGGACAGGGCCAAAGAUGGUUUCCUCAUCUGCUCUGUCUUUCCAUUCACAAAGACACUUUUCUGCCAGAGGCAUUACAGAACAGUUAUCUUGAAACCCCAUUGCCAGAACUCAGUUAUAUGCUAUGCCCUAGCAAGAGUUAAGCUAGUCAUAAGUUCCCAUGGCCCUAGUACACCUUGACCGAUUCCAUGAGGUCAGUUUGUCUCUGCUUGCUCCCUCAGUGAAGCCAGAGAAGGGUGUGAGGAUAGCAGAUGCUAAGUGAUGACCUGUAUCUGCCUUGUGUGCCCCUUCCUGUUAGCUCUGUGUCAACUGUAGCCUGUGAGUAGAGUCCUAAAAUUAACACCCCUAACACGUAACAUAUGUACCUGACUUGUACAAGAAUGGCAGGUCAAAAUUCUAAGCAGCACACUUUCAUUCUGCAGAAGUACAUAGGACUGCAGUUCUGUUCCUAACAUCCACAUUCGGUGGCUCACAGCUACCUGUAACUGUAGCAUCAGGACAUCUGAGCUCCUCUGCUGACCUCCAAAAGGACUCCCAUGUGUGUACGUGUGUACACAUAAAUACACACAGAAAUAAUUAGUGCACAUAACAUAACGUAACUAAAACAAAUGAAUC
rnacentral:sRNA from 1 species